CCUACGGGAGGCAGCAGUGAGGAAUAUUGGUCAAUGGACGAGAGUCUGAACCAGCCAAGUCGCGUGAAGGAUGACUGCCCUAUGGGUUGUAAACUUCUUUUAUAUGGGAAUAAAAUGUUCCACGUGUGGGAUUUUGUAUGUACCAUAUGAAUAAGGAACGGCUAACUUCGUGCCAGCCGCCGCGGUAAUACGGAGGAUCCGAGCGUUAUCCGGAUUUAUUGGGUUUAAAGGGAGCGUAGGUGGAUUGUUAAGUCAGUUGUGAAAGUUUGCGGCUCAACCGUAGAAUUGCAGUUGAAACUGGCAGUCUUGAGUACAGUAGAGGUGGGCGGAAUUCGUGGUGUAGCGGUGAAAUGCGUAGAUAUCACGAAGAACUCCGAUUGCGAAGGCAGCUCACUGGACUGCAACUGACACUGAGGCUCGAAAGUGUGGGUAUCAAACAGGAUUAGAUACCCCAGUAGUC
rnacentral:rRNA from 1 species